rnacentral:rRNA from 1 species
AGAGUUUGAUCCUGGCUCAGAACGAACGCUGGCGGCGUGCUUAACACAUGCAAGUCGAGUGCGCGCCUGUAGCAAUACAGGUGGCGCACGGCGCACGGGUGCGUAACACGUGGGUAAUCUGCCCUCUGAUGGGGAAUAACUCGCCGAAAGGCGAGCUAAUUCCGCAUAAUAUUCCGAGAACUUUGGUUUUUGGACUGAAAGGCGUAAGUCGUCGGAGGAGGAGCCCGCGCACGAUUAGCUAGUUGGUAGGGUAAUGGCCUACCAAGGCUUUGAUCGUUAGCUGGUCUGAGAGGAUGGCCAGCCACACUGGAACUGAGACACGGUCCAGACUCCUACGGGAGGCAGCAGUGGGGAAUCUUGCACAAUGGGCGAAAGCCUGAUGCAGCGACGCCGCGUGGGGGAUGAAGCUUCUCGGAGUGUAAACCCCUUUCGAUCCGGACGAAACCCCGCAAGGGAUUGACGGUACGGAUAUAAGAAGCCCCGGCUAACUACGUGCCAGCAGCCGCGGUAAUACGUAGGGGGCCAGCGUUGUUCGGAAUUACUGGGUGUAAAGGGUUCGUAGGCGGUGCGGCAAGUUGGGAGUGAAAUCUCUGGGCUUAACCCAGAGACGGCUUCCAAAACUGCUGUGCUUGAGUGUGGGAGAGGCUCGUGGAAUUGCAGGUGUAGCGGUGAAAUGCGUAGAUAUCUGCAGGAACACCCGUGGCGAAAGCGGCGAGCUGGACCACUACUGACGCUGAAGAACGAAAGCUAGGGGAGCAAACAGGAUUAGAUACCCUAGUAGUCC